rnacentral:rRNA from 1 species
UGGGGAAUAUUGGACAAUGGGCGAAAGCCUGAUCCAGCCAUGCCGCGUGUGUGAAGAAGGUCUUCGGGUUGUAAAGCACUUUAAGUUGGGAGGAAGGGCAGUAAGUUAAUACCUUGCUGUUUUGACGUUACCGACAGAAUAAGCACCGGCUAACUUCGUGCCAGCAGCCGCGGUAAUACGAAGGGUGCAAGCGUUAAUCGGAAUUACUGGGUGUAAAGCGCGCGUAGGUGGUUUGAUAAGUUGGAUGUGAAAGCCCCGGGCUCAACCUGGGAAUUGCAUCCAAAACUGUCUGACUAGAGUAUGGCAGAGGGUGGUGGAAUUUCCUGUGUAGCGGUGAAAUGCGUAGAUAUAGGAAGGAACACCAGUGGCGAAGGCGACCACCUGGGGCUAAAUUACUGACACUGAGGUGCGAAAAGCGUGGGGAGCAAACAGGAUUAGAUACCCUGGUAGUCCACGCCGUAAACGAUGUCGACUAGCCGUUGGGAUCCUUGAGAUCUUAGUGGCGCAGCUAACGCAUUAAGUCGACCGCCUGGGGAGUACGGCCGCAAGGUUAAAA